UACGGAGGGGGGCUAGCGUUGUUCGGAAUUACUGGGCGUAAAGCGCACGUAGGCGGCUUUGCAAGUCAGAGGUGAAAGCCCGGGGCUCAACCCCGGAAUUGCCUUUGAGACUGCAUCGCUAGAAUUGUGGAGAGGUAAGUGGAAUUCCGAGUGUAGAGGUGAAAUUCGUAGAUAUUCGGAAGAACACCAGUGGCGAAGGCGACUUACUGGACACAUAUUGACGCUGAGGUGCGAAAGCGUGGGGGAGCAAACAGG
rnacentral:rRNA from 1 species